GACGAACGCUGGCGGCGCGCUUAACACAUGCAAGUCGAGCGAAGCGGCGGACGGGUGAGUAACACGUGAGUAACCUGCCUUAGACAUUGGGAUAGCCUCGGGAAACCGGGAUUAAUACCAAAUGGUCUAAGAUGGACUCGCGUCCAAUUAGGUAGUUGGUGAGGUAACGGCCCACCAAGGCGACGAGGGGUAGCCGGCCUGCGAGGGUGAACGGACACAUUGAAAGGGAGAGACGGUCCAAUGUCUACGGGAGGGAGCAGUGGGGAAUAUUGCGCAAUGGAGUGAACUCUAAUGCGGCGGGGCGGCGUGGGGGAUGAGGGCUUUCGGUUUGUAAACCUCGUCGAUAUCGAACAGGGUAGGUAGAGAAGAAGCGCCGGCUAACUACGUGCCAGCCGCCGCGGUAAUAC
rnacentral:rRNA from 1 species